rnacentral:misc_RNA from 1 species
GGUUAAGAAGAGGAGAAGGCCAUAAAUCCGCAGCAGAAGGGAUGAAAACCUAGACUACAAAAGGAAAGGAGCAAAAAAGGGCGACAGAGAGAAGAGACAGGCAUUAUAAAAAUUAUUGUGAGUCAUUAUAAUUUAAUUCAAUACUUUAUUUAUGAUAUUUUAAAUUAAAUUAAAACACUUUAUUACAAUUCUAUUACGUGAUUAAUAAUAAUCAAAAUUAAAAUAAAAAACAACAUUUUAUUUGAAAAAAAAAUUUUCUCUCUUUCUCUUUCUUCCCACUUCCUCCUUUUCCUUCCUACCUCCCAACGGAAACUUAGCCCAAACAACUCUCCCAUCUCUCACUUGUCACACAUCAAGCACUCCCCCUCCCCGGCCCCUCCACUCCAACCCUUGCCGCCCUUUGCUGCUACUGAUACUCUCGGGCUUCCCUAACCUCGAUAAUAGAAUUAUAUAAUUUGUAUUUGUAAUCGACACAAUUUUCUUUUAUAGUUGAUUUUUUGUUUGAUGAUAUGUGAAGGGAACCUCACUUCUUUUCUGCGCUUCGUCUUUUCUAAUUGCUGGGGGUCUUCUGAUUUUUGAGAAGUACUAAAUUUAGUCUACUUUUCCCAUAAUAUUUUAUUCUUGUUUUGGCAUUUCUCUGACAAAAUCUCCUGAGUAGUUAUAUAAGGGCCGGCUAAAAGCUAAUGGAGACAUGAUGACUAUCAGAGUACAUAAACCUUCACUACUGGGUUUGCAAAAUUUCUAUGCUUGAUUUUUGUGGGUUUGAGACGUUUAAUUUUGAGAACAUGAUGAAGGUGUUAAAGCUUGCUGUGAUUUGGAUUGUAACUCUGGGUUCCUCAGCAUGAGAGUUGUGAUAUUAGGCGUGGGUGUGAGCACGUUGUUGUGGGUUCAUCACUUUGCACGCCCUUCGUUUCUCCAAAAGAGGCCGAGGCCUUGGGCCUUCGUGAGCUUUUGAAAUGGCAGGUAUGUCAUAUGUCGUGGUUGAAACAGAAUUGGGUACUACCUAUUAUUUCAGACUGUAAAAGCUUCUUCAACCAGGGAAGCUUUUAUUUCAUAUGUAUGUAUAUAUAUAUCUAUAUAUAUGACAGUUCAGGCAAUAAUACAUCUCAU